GAUGAAGAACGUAGCGAAAUGCGAUAAGUAAUGUGAAUUGCAGAAUUCAGUGAAUCAUCGAAUCUUUGAACACACAUUGCGCCCCUUGGUAUUCCGAGGGGCAUGCCUGCUCGAGCGUCAUUAUAACCCCUCAAGCUCAGCUUGGUGUUGGGGCCUGCUGCACUGGCAGCCCUUAAAAUCAGUGGCGGCGCCAUCUGGCUCUAAGCGUAGUAAUUCUUCUCGCUAUGGAGUCCUGGUGGAUGCUUGCCAUCAACCCCCAAUUUUUCUAUGGUUGACCUCGGAUCAGGUAGGGAUACCCGCUGAACUUAAGCAUAUCAAUAAGCGGAGGA
rnacentral:misc_RNA from 1 species